rnacentral:rRNA from 1 species
UAAAAGAGUGGCAUGGUUAAAGAUAAUUCUCUGGAGCCCUAGUUGAAAGCAAGUUUAACAAGCUAAAGUCACCCUUUUUAGACCCGAAACCGAGUGAUCUACCCAUGAUCAGGGUGAAGUGUUGGUAAAAUAACAUGGAGGCCCGAACCGACUAAUGGUGAAAAAUUAGCGGAUGAAUUGUGGGUAGGGGCGAAAAACCAAUCGAACUCGGAGUUAGCUGGUUCUCCCCGAAAUGCGUUUAGGCGCAGCAGUAGCAACACAAAUAGAGGGGUAAAGCACUGUUUCUUUUGUGGGCUUCGAAAGUUGUACCUCAAAGUGGCAAACUCUGAAUACUCUAUUUAGAUAUCUACUAGUGAGACCUUGGGGGAUAAGCUCCUUGGUCAAAAGGGAAACAGCCCAGAUCACCAGUUAAGGCCCCAAAAUGAAAAUGAUAGUGACUAAGGAUGUGGGUAUGUUAAAACCUCCAGCAGGUUAGCUUAGAAGCAGCAAUCCUUUCAAGAGUGCGUAAUAGCUCACUGGUUAUAGAAAAAUUGUUGUAAUUUUUCAAUAAAUUAAAAUCUAUAGCGUACUCGUGCCGAAAAUUAUCGGGACUUA